UAAUUACCACCGAGCGGCGGGUAG
rnacentral:snRNA from 1 species